ACCAGCACAGAGAAGCACCCAGACCAGACCAGAGCACAGACUUCUCACUCUGUGAGAGAGCUGUCAGCAUGACACCUGCUGCCUUGCUGUGGGCAGCCAUGGUCUCUGCCUGUCUGGGAUCCAGUAUGGCCCAGACGGUCACCCAGCCUCAACCAGAAAUGUCUGUGCAGGAGACAGAGACUGUGACCCUGGCCUGCACAUAUGAAGCUAGUAGCAGGAAUUAUUAUUUGUUCUGGUACAAACAGCCUCCCAGUGGGGAGAUUAUUUUCAUUAUCCACCAAGAAGCUUAUAAGGAACAAAAUGCAACAAAUGAUCGCUUCUCUGUGAACUUCCAGAAAGGAAGCAAACACAUUGGCCUCAGGAUCUCAGACUCCCGACUGGAGGAUGCAGCGAUGUAUUUCUGUGCUUUCACGGAGGCACAGUGA